AGUGAACGCUGGCGGUAGGCCUAACACAUGCAAGUCGAACGGCAGCACAGUAAGAGCUUGCUCUUACGGGUGGCGAGUGGCGGACGGGUGAGGAAUACAUCGGAAUCUACUUUUUCGUGGGGGAUAACGUAGGGAAACUUACGCUAAUACCGCAUACGACCUACGGGUGAAAGCAGGGGAUCUUCGGACCUUGCGCGAUUGAGUGAGCCGAUGUCGGAUUGGCUAGUUGGCGGGGUAAAGGCCCACCAAGGCGACGAUCCGUAGCUGGUCUGAGAGGAUGAUCAGCCACACUGGAACUGAGACACGGUCCAGACUCCUACGGGAGGCAGCAGUGGGAAAUAUUGGACAAUGGGCGCAAGCCUGAUCCAGCCAUACCGCGUGGGUGAAGAAGGCCUUCGGGUUGUAAAGCCCUUUUGUUGGGAAAGAAAAGCAGCAGGUUAAUACCCCGCUGUUCUGACGGUACCCAAAGAAUAAGCACCGGCUAACUUCGUG
rnacentral:rRNA from 1 species